CUUUGGCUGCGGCUUACUACUGGGCUUUCCUUCGGAUUAUACUUAGCAACCGAUUUUGAUCGCCUUGCUUGGAACAACGUCCAGUGACAGCGAGCCAAUUCAAACGCUGCUCGCUCCGUUCGAUUCCUGGAAACAACGAGCUAACCUCUCUCUCUCUCUCUCUCUCUCUCUCUCUCUCUGCCUUCGUAGGCUUCCACUCGUCGUCAUCCUCUGACCUCUCGUCUUCGGCAAGUCUGCGUUCGUGGGGGUUGAAACGAAAGGCCUUGUAGUUUGUGUAUUCUGAUGGCGAGACGUUUUCUAUGCUUGGUCUCUAUCUUGUUCUUCAUGUACCCUUUCUUUAGCAGCCACGCCUUUGCGAAGUCACCCCUCCGGCGCCCCAUCACGGAUCAGGAGAUACGGACCAGAAAGGAUGAAUGCUAUACAGAUAUCCAAAGUGGGCUUUGGGGACUACAUUGCAAAUCUUCAAAGAUAAUGAAAGAGAAUUGUGCUUUGCGCUGUCUUUCUCCAGUUUGCUAUUCACUUGUCUAUGAAGGUGACCCUCUCGAAGAAGGAGAGAUAGAUUAUAUUCGAAGCCAGGAGUAUAAGUACUGCUUACACAACUUCAUGAAGACUAUGAGGUCCCCGAAGAAAAUUUUAUGAACGGGACACCAUUUAAUCUGAUUCUCUCUGCCGACAGAUAGAGAAAGAAGUGCUUACAUGCAUCUACAUAGGCCAAAUUCGAUAUGCCACAAUACUGAUAAAGUAUAGGAUACCGUAAAGUGUGUGAAUCUGUUAGCCUUUCAUACUUUCGUUGGGAGAGAGCUUGGAUGGUGUCAAGGGUUCCUUUAAUUAUUAGUGUCUUCCUGCAGCAAUUUGGUGUUUAUAAAAGCUGUGAAUUCUAGAGUAUUGCUAAAAGCUUGAUCAUUGUAAACACGAUCUCUUUUCUGAAGGAAAUGUAACAUAAGUUGCCUUCGUGUGACCAAGACAGUUCAGAAACAAUGUAAUGCGACUUAAAGCGCUCUAAGAAGUUUAGAACAGCCUUCUCUUGGACUACGCGAUAAUCUCAAGCCUUAACUAAAGGUAAAGAUCACUCUUCCUCUUUA